rnacentral:misc_RNA from 1 species
UCCUCGUUUAAGCGAGGCAGUCUGUCCAGAGUGCUCCCCUCUCUCGAGGGGGUGGCAACAGGACACAAGGGUUGCGCUCGUUGCGGGACUUAACCCAACAUCUCACGACACGAGCUGACGACAGCCAUGCAGCACCUGUGCAUUCUGGCAUUGCUGCCUCGUCGGACUUUCAUCCUCCUACUAAAUGCAUGUCAAGGCCAGGUAAGGUUCUUCGCGUUGCAUCGAAUUAAGCCACAUACUCCACCGCUUGUGCAGGCCCCCGUCAAUUUCUUUGAGUUUUAGUCUUGCGACCGUACUUCCCAGGCGGGGCACUUAUCGCGUUAGCUCAGACUCGGCAGGGGUCAAGACCCGCCAGAUCGAGUGCCCAUCGUUUACAGCGUGGACUAC